UUGCCUUCCUGGAAAAGCGAGCUACAGCUGCCAUUUCUAGAGGAGAAGCGAGCGUGGUCUGUGAUUCAGCUCCCGAUUUACUCUGCAUUGAUAC